GGGUCUGAGGGCCAUUUUGCCAUGACAUCUGUCACCCUGUUGAUUGCCAGGAUUGAUUCAGCUGAUUAGCUGGCUAGGCGGGUGUCCCCUUUCUCCCGCCAUGUGUGUCCCUCCUGAAGCUACACACUUGGUCUAAGAGGAUGACCAUCCCUGAUAGAGGAAGACUGGUCUUGGGUGAAGGGUAUAUAAGUAGCUGUGCUCCCCUGCUAGAACUUCCAAACAAGCUGCUCUCAAGAAACGGGACAACUUUGGGAGAUAUUGUGGGGACAGCCUAAACUAUCAGUCCAACCUCAUCUCUGCCUCAGCUAGUGGCACAUUAGCCAUCCGA
rfam:Dipodomys ordii contig_19619, whole genome shotgun sequence.